rnacentral:lncRNA from 1 species
CUCAUGCCGCCAAAAACGCAAUGGCCAAUGGGGAGGGGCCACCAAAUUGGAUCGUCUAUUCUUCUCUCGCAAUCUUCGCGGUUCUAGGAGCUCCACUUGCUGUGACAUACUCUGUCCCGUAUGCAUUGACAGCAACCUACACAGAAAAAGUGGGAGGUGGUCAAGGGCUGUCUGUAGGCGUACUGAACCUCGCAGUUGUUACGCCCCAGGUUCUUGUAUCGGUAGGGAGUGGACCUUGGGAUGAGCUUUUCGGAGGCGGCAACAUGCCUGCCUUUUUACUCGGUGCAGGAGCCGCUCUAUUGGGCGCCAUUGCUGCUGUUCUGCUUCUGCCGAGGCCCCCGCCUGACUUC